rnacentral:rRNA from 1 species
UACGUAGGGGGCAAGCGUUGUCCGGAAUCAUUGGGCGUAAAGCGCGCGUAGGCGGCUAUGUAAGUCCGUUGUGAAAGUCAAAGGCUCAACCUUUGAAAGCCGAUGGAUACUGCAGGGCUAGAGUCCGGAAGAGGCGAGUGGAAUUCCUGGUGUAGCGGUGAAAUGCGCAGAUAUCAGGAGGAACACCGAUGGCGAAGGCAGCUCGCUGGGACGGAACUGACGCUGAGACGCGAAAGCGUGGGGAGCAAACAGG